rnacentral:rRNA from 1 species
GACGAACGCUGGCGGCGUGCCUAAUACAUGCAAGUAGAACGCUGAAGGAGGAGCUUGCUUCUCCGGAUGAGUUGCGAACGGGUGAGUAACGCGUAGGUAACCUGCCUGGUAGCGGGGGAUAACUAUUGGAAACGAUAGCUAAUACCGCAUAAGAGUAGAUGUUGCAUGACAUUUGCUUAAAAGGUGCAAUUGCAUCACUACCAGAUGGACCUGCGUUGUAUCAGCUAGUUGGUGAGGUAACGGCUCACCAAGGCGACGAUACAUAGCCGACCUGAGAGGGUGAUCGGCCACACUGGGACUGAGACACGGCCCAGACUCCUACGGGAGGCAGCAGUAGGGAAUCUUCGGCAAUGGACGGAAGUCUGACCGAGCAACGCCGCGUGAGUGAAGAAGGUUUUCGGAUCGUAAAGCUCUGUUGUAAGAGAAGAACGAGUGUGAGAGUGGAAAGUUCACACUGUGACGGUAUCUUACCAGAAAGGGACGGCUAACUACGUG